UAUGUGAUCGUCUCUCGCAUAUCAAUAAGCGGAGGAAAAGAAACUAACAAGGAUUCCCCUAGUAACGGCGAGUGAAGCGGGAAGAGCUCAAAUUUGGAAUCUUAAAGGGUUUCCCUUUACGAAUUGUAGUUUAAAGAAGUGUUUUCUGUUGAGGUUUUGGUAAAAGUUCUUUGGAAUAGGACAUCAUAGAGGGUGAGAAUCCCGUAUUUGACCUUUACUUUCAACUUUGUGAUACACUUUCAAAGAGUCGGAUUGUUUGGGAAUGCAGUCCAAAAUGGGUGGUAAAUUUCAUCUAAAGCUAAAUAUUGGCGAGAGACCGAUAGCGAACAAGUACCGUGAGGGAAAGAUGAAAAGAACUUUGAAAAGAGAGUUAAACAGUACGUGAAAUUGUCAAAAGGGAAGCGUUUGACACCAGUGUUGUUUUUCUGAAAAUCAAUUAAAGAACUGUUUAUGCUAAGCUGUUUGGACUUUAUCAGCUAACUGUUUAGUUUUGAGCUUUUCUUUAAUGCACUUUUCAGUUAACAAGUCAACAUCAAUUUCUUUUGCUGUAAAAAAGCUUGAGGAAGGUGGCUUGAGAUUCGUCUUAAGUGUUUAUAGCCUCUUGCCUAUGCAGUCGGAGAGAUUGAGGUCUGCAGCGUAGAUCCUUCGGGGCUAAAUGCAUUUGUGCUAAGUUAUAGCAUUUUAUAGACAACUUGUUGACUAUGAUUUGUCUUGUAGCUUACUCGCUUAUGUUAUUUUACCUACGCUUAGGAUGUUGAACGCGCACAGAGUCUC
rnacentral:rRNA from 1 species